rnacentral:tRNA from 1 species
GGCGGCAUAGCCAAAUGGUAAGGCAGAGGGUUGCAAACCCUUUAUCCCCAGUUCGAUUCUGGGUGCCGCCUCCA